rnacentral:rRNA from 1 species
AGCAGUGGGAGCACGCUUAGGCGUGUGACUGCGUACCUUUUGUAUAAUGGGUCAGCGACUUAUAUUCUGUAGCAAGGUUAACCGAAUAGGGGAGCCGAAGGGAAACCGAGUCUUAACUGGGCGUUAAGUUGCAGGGUAUAGACCCGAAACCCGGUGAUCUAGCCAUGGGCAGGUUGAAGGUUGGGUAACACUAACUGGAGGACCGAACCGACUAAUGUUGAAAAAUUAGCGGAUGACUUGUGGCUGGGGGUGAAAGGCCAAUCAAACCGGGAGAUAGCUGGUUCUCCCCGAAAGCUAUUUAGGUAGCGCCUCGUGAAUUCAUCUCCGGGGGUAGAGCACUGUUUCGGCAAGGGGGUCAUCCCGACUUACCAACCCGAUGCAAACUGCGAAUACCGGAGAAUGUUAUCACGGGAGACACACGGCGGGUGCUAACGUCCGUCGUGAAGAGGGAAACAACCCAGACCGCCAGCUAAGGUCCCAAAGUCAUGGUUAAGUGGGAAACGAUGUGGGAAGGCCCAGACAGCCAGGAUGUUGGCUUAGAAGCAGCCAUCAUUUAAAGAAAGCGUAAUAGCUCACUGGUCGAGUCGGCCUGCGCGGAAGAUGUAACGGGGCUAAACCAUGCACCGAAGCUGCGGCAGCGACGCUGAUGCGUUGUUGGGUAGGGGAGCGUUCUGUAAGCCUGCGAAGGUGUG